CCCAGUUACCUGCCUCUUGUCUGGAAGUGAUGAAUCGCCCAUGAGUUCAACAGUGUGGAUUUCACUCACUGUCGCUGGGCCCCUCCAGUGGGGAGCAUGGGCAGAGGAAGUGUGAAGGAUCGGUCCAUUUUUGCAAAGCUCUUUUACCUUCUUUGUGCCAAGUAGAAGAGGCAGUAUCUUCACAAACAUCCCCUAGACUCACAGCCUGCCCGGGUCCUUUAUCGUUGGCUGAUUCCUUCCUGCCAGUGAGCUGAUGGCUGUCACCAGUGGUUACCAACCAUGCGAAGGACUCAAGGCUCAGGCAGAGGUCCAGACUCAUAGUCAUGGAAGUUAGAGCUGGAAGGCUUCUGGGAAAUAAGUAGGUCCACUCAACACGCUCAUCUUACAGAUCCAGAAACUAGGGGACCGGGACUGAAAUCGGAUCCUGCACGUCUCCCCUUAUUAGAAUGGACAGCCGUGCGUGUGGCGUUCUCCUGUUUGCCCGCCUCCCUCCUGCCCCACCUGUUCUCUGCCUCAGGAGACCCACCUGUAUGAACUGCAUCAAAACCUUCUUCCCCUCUGGCUUCCAGGUGGCCCUGGACAACGCACCGGAGGCUGGAAGACCCAGAGGCUGUUGAGGCUGCAGAAAGGAGCCCACGAGGCCAGUCUGGACCACGUUCUGCCUGCUGCUUCCAGAAACACCUCCCGCCCCCGUUGCUAUGCUCCGCUGUAGCCAACUGCUAGCGUUCCUAGCUGGCUGGUCCCUGGUCCUCCUUGGUCAGCAAAAGGGCUCUCCUCCUCUCCUUUCUGGUGUCAACGAAUGUCAUCCUCCUGAUGAGUCAGUUUCACCAUUUUGCAAUCCUUGUCAUGCACAGGAAAGCCUGCCUCCGCAGCCCGCCACCUAUGACUUCUUCCAAGUCAUUGGCCCCAGGAGUCUGGCCAGCUGUUUCGACUGGGUCAACUGCUGGUGUUCUCCACGGGUGACAGCUUCUCCUCGAAGGUGCUUUGGAAGAUCUACAAAAUCCACAAACCUGCCUCCUCGUUUGCCCAAGACAGUCCUGGUUUACACCGGGUUUCCCAGCAUCGUUACUGAUACCAUGUUUCCAUUCCCAAGAGUGUUCCAGUCUGGACAGUAAGUCCUAGGGUUUCUUUAUCUACAGUCCUUCUGGGCAACCAUGAGGAAGUCAACGGCCUUUUCUAGACGCUAGGACAGGGCUUGGCACCAAGAAGGAGCCUCAAGAUGCUGAUUAUUGAACACAGUUCGGCUGUUUGUGUCCCUUGGGGAUUCGGGGCAGGGAUCUGGGGACGGUUGUAUCAGAGCUCCUGUCCAACCCUCCAGGGACUGACUGUGCAGGAAACGUAGGUGACCAGAGGUGCAUGGGGGUGGCAUUUGUGUAAUAUCGUUACACCGUGAAAAAUUAGCCCCAGCGUUUAAACCCUGUCGGUGAGAUGCUUGAUUCAAGUCAAGGGCUUCGUGGAAGCGAUGGGGCCUCGGGAACAGCAGAGUUGAGUGGAAACACAAGCAGCAGUCUCGGGACCUGUUUGUGGCGUGGCGCUGCCACACGUCCAGUGGGCUGGAUAGUUAGGAAUUCGUGUCAUUUGUUUAGAAUUUGGCACAUGAGGAAGUGUAUUUGCAUAUGUUCUGACGCAGGGCUCCUAGCAAUGGGAGGUGGGGAGAAACGAUAGUACCAUCCCCAUUUAUUAUUAUUUUUAAGACAAGGAAACUUUUCCAAAAUUGCUCAGCUAAAACUUGGCAGAAUCCAGGCCUAAUAGAGCCCUUCCGAGCCCACUGCUCCUCUGACCACGUUAUCACAGAGAUAGUGUUGCAAGACCGGCCGAAGCGCUUUGCAGUCCAGUAACAGGUGUUUUGACGCUCUCUGCAGGGUGAGCUCGCUCCUAGGACCAAGGCUGGGGUUUUGUUAGAGCAGUUGAUACAGUGAUUGACGGGACAGAGAAGCGCCUAUGAAUUGGGAAAUGGUGACAAAGCUGUUUUCCUAGAACUGAUGUUCUGAGGGGAUCAAGCCAGCUGAUUGCUGUUUACAACUUGCAGGCCUUCCUGCCCAGAGGAGACACAGGGGCUGGACCCCAGCCCUGCACGCAGGGAGCAGAGGACAGAUGCAAGCGAGGUGUGUGAUGCUCUGGCUCCCACUAUGUGAUGGGGAACAUGUGAAGGCGGGGGGAUUGAACUGUGGGUGACCCCGCCGAGCAAGGAGGCUAAUUAGAGCCUCUUCCCCGCACUUCAGUCACAAGCCCCUCCUGCCCUUCCUCCUGAUGGUGCGGCUGAUAAAGAGGGAUUGAAUUUAUGAAAAGCGAUGAAGAUGUUUGGAUAAGCCUCGAGACCGAGGCAAGCCAGCCGGACGAGUUAGGGCCUGACGAGGCAGCAGAGUUGUCUGAAAGCCUCGGAAGGGGCUGGCCAAGCCGGGAGGCAGGGGAAAAAUGAGCGCCCAGCACGACACCCCGCAGAUGUGACCCUGGGACUGCACAUCGUGCCGUCCAGGUGGAAACGGGCUGCUGACGGCUGGCGCCGUGGGGAGGUUCUCAGCUUGUCCCGUGCCCUUUGGCAGCCAGCAGCUCCUGCCACAAGUGUUUCUUGUUCCCAGGGAGAACCUGUGUGAACCAAAUAAACCAGAGGACACAGAACACAUGAGUAGGGAAAGGCUGGGAGCCUGGGAGAAAGCACCAUCUUUGUAGAGAUGAAGUUCAGACUGCCCGAUGGGACGAGUAAAGAAGCUGAAAAUGUUUAUGGAGUAUUUACCACGUGCCAGGCGCUGUGCAGAGAGCAUCAUGUGUAUGUGUCGCAAUCUCUUUAUGUCAGCGGUUUAGUUGUUAUCGUGCCUAUUGCACUGAUGGAGUAAGUGAAACUCAGAGAGGGUAGGUAACUUGCCCAAGGCCACACAGCUAAUACAUGAUUAAUUUGGGAAUCAAAACCCAAAAGUGAAUUUUUUAAAAAAAAAUUUCAGGCAGUGAGACUCUGGAGACUUUAUCCUAAAUUAAUUUGCUCCAAGCCAGUCCACUGGGCCACAUGGUGGGGUGGCGGGGGGAGGUAGGUGUGUCUGCUGGGACGGGAGGGUGAGCACCAUCUUUUAUCUUGGGCUGCCUUGACUCAUUCUUUGGCUGGGUGGCUCCCUCGGCACUGGGCCCCCUGGUCUUUCUCAAGUGGUUCCAGGGAGGAGAUGCUCUCUGCCCACCCAGAACACCCCCUACCCUCAGUGCUGGCUAUGGUAGCACCAACUUCUAAGGUCUUCGGAGUUAAAUGCCCCAACAGCUGCCUAACCCCAGACACCCGUGAGUCUGUGGCCACCUGGUCACCCGGUCUGGCCCAUGUGUGCCCCGCUGAGAGCUUCCUGAGAACCAUGGCUGCCUGUGGCUGUGUUUCUCCUGGGUUCUGCCCACCCACGUGGAGUCUGCGACUCAAGGCAGAGGACGGAGGCUGAGUGACCGUCCUGGUGUGCGAAAUGGGCUGUGUCCCUGAGGUCAAGGGA